AGCUUUGCACAGUGGCAGUAUCGUAGCCAAUGAGGUUUAUCCGAGGCGCGAUUAUUGCUAAAAGUUAAAGUCAGUAUAUUAAAAUUCCUUACUAAUCAGCGGUUCGUGCCAUAGAUUUCAUUUAGGUCACUAGACC